AGUGAACGCUGGCGGUAGGCCUAACACAUGCCAGUCGAACGGCAGCACAGUAAGAGCUUGCUCUUACGGGUGGCGAGUGGCGGACGGGUGAGGAAUACAUCGGAAUCUACUUUUUCGUGGGGGAUAACGUAGGGAAACUUACGCUAAUACCGCAUACGACCUACGGGUGAAAGCAGGGGAUCUUCGGACCUUGCGCGAUUGAAAGAGCCGAUGUCGGAUUAGCUAGUUGGCGGGGUAAAGGCCCACCAAGGCGACGAUCCGUAGCUGGUCUGAGAGGAUGAUCAGCCACACUGGAACUGAGACACGGUCCAGACUCCUACGGGAGGCAGCAGUGGGGAAUAUUGGACAAUGGGCGCAAGCCUGAUCCAGCCAUACCGCGUGGGUGAAGAAGGCCUUCGGGUUGUAAAGCCCUUUUGUUGGGAAAGAAAAGCAGCAGGUUAAUACCCCGCUGUUCUGACGGUACCCAAAGAAUAAGCACCGGCUAACUUCGUG
rnacentral:rRNA from 1 species